rnacentral:rRNA from 2 species
CUAGCCGUAAACGAUGUGAACUUGGCGUCGGUGGGAUUAAAUCCAUCGGUGUCGAAGCUAACGCGAUAAGUUCACCGCCUGAGGACUACGGCCGCAAGGUUAAAACUCAAAGGAAUUGACGGGGACCCGCACAAGCAGCGGAGCGUGUGGUUUAAUUCGUUGCUACGCGAAGAACCUUACCUGGGUUUGACAUAUAGGUUGUAGGGAACUGAAAAGGGACCGACCCUUCGGGGAGCCUAUACAGGUGU